GGGCACCACGUGAAGGACACCCAUAACAGACCAAGACCUCCCCAUCACAAACUGACAAAGAAAGCAUAAUCCCAAAAGCAAAGCGAUAAAGAAACAGAGCAAUGCAUAAUAGAAUUCCAAAGGCUGCGGCCGGACGUGGCAACAGUGCGGGCGAGCUGCGCAUGCGCCUGGACCGCGACCCGAGACUCUCCCUCUGGCUCCUCCGAGGUCUUAUUUUCCCCUGCCGAGUGAUGCAAAGCCAAUGCAUCACCUUUGAUAUCCGACGGAGCUUCUUCUGUGUCAAGGCAGUUCAUUGAAACAUGAAAUUUAAAUACUGUGGGGAUAACAACGCACAGCUGUCCAGUGGGCGAGGCUACACACUUAUGGAGCUACUGAAAGGCUCUGGCGAGUUCUGCAAGGCACAAUAUCACAUCAAAUAAGCAAAA